rnacentral:rRNA from 1 species
UACGGAGGGAGCUAGCGUUGUUCGGAACUACUGGGCGUAAAGCGCACGUAGGCGGCACUGCAAGUCAGGGGUGAAAUCCCGGGGCUCAACCCCGGAACUGCCCUUGAAACUGCAGCGCUAGAAUCUUGGAGAGGCGAGUGGAAUUCCGAGUGUAGAGGUGAAAUUCGUAGAUAUUCGGAAGAACACCAGUGGCGAAGGCGACUCGCUGGACAAGUAUUGACGCUGAGGUGCGAAAGCGUGGGGAGCAAACAGG